rnacentral:misc_RNA from 1 species
GAUGAAGAACGCAGCGAAAUGCGAUAAGUAAUGUGAAUUGCAGAAUUCAGUGAAUCAUCGAAUCUUUGAACGCACAUUGCGCCCGCCAGUAUUCUGGCGGGCAUGCCUGUUCGAGCGUCAUUUCAACCAUCACGCCCCCGGCUUGUGUUGGGGACCUGCGGCUGCCGCAGGCCCUGAAAACCAGUGGCGGGCUCGCUAGUCACUCCGAGCGUAGUAAUACAUCUCGCUCAGGGCGUGCUGCGGGUUCCGGCCGUUAAAAAGCCUUAUUUACCCAAGGUUGACCUCGGAUCAGGUAGGAAGACCCGCUGAACUUAAGCAUAUCAAUAAGCGGAGGA